AUCCCUUCCCUCCACACUGCACUGUCAUGACCACUCACCAAGGAUCCGCUUUGUCUCUUUCACUUUCAGGACGCUUCCAUUGCACACAGAUUCCAUGUGAUGAGAGAGAAACAUCCUGAAAAAUUCAACAGCAGGAUGAAGAACAAGCUGUGGUACUUUGAAUUUGGCACCUCGGAGACUUUUGCAGCGACCUGCAAGAAACUCCAUGACCACAUUGAGUUGGAGUGUGAUGGGGUUGGGGUGGACCUGAGCAACAUCUUCCUGGAAGGCAUUGCCAUUCUCAACAUUCCCAGCAUGUACGGAGGCACCAAUCUCUGGGGAGAAAACAAGAAGAACCGGGCUGUGAUCCGGGAAAGCAGGAAGGGUGUCACUGACCCCAAAGAACUGAAAUUCUGCGUUCAAGACCUCAGUGACCAACUCCUUGAAGUGGUGGGGCUAGAAGGAGCCAUGGAGAUGGGGCAGAUCUACACCGGCCUGAAGAGUGCAGGCAAGAGGCUGGCCCAGUGCUCCUCUGUCACCAUCAGGACAAACAAGCUGCUGCCAAUGCAAGUGGAUGGAGAACCCUGGAUGCAGCCAUGUUGCACGAUUAAAAUUACUCACAAGAACCAA
rnacentral:sRNA from 1 species